CAAGGUGGUCCAGCUUUGCUUCGAGAUGAAAAAAAUACGUAUAAUAUUUCAUCCGAUCGUCAUCGUCCACAUCAACGAUCCGGUUAUUCGCGAAGGAGAAUAAUACCGUAUCUCAUUCGACGCGAGAAAGGUGUCGUCGGAACGAAUUAAUUCGAGAAACGUUCGAAUUCGUAUCGCGUUUCCAGACCGCGAGGAAUUCUCCAAGGGUGGAAUUACCACGUGCAUACAUAUAUGGAACAGCGGUCUGAUGGAUCCCCCUUGGGUGGAUCCCCCUUUGCCGAUUCUCAUCGGGAAUUUCUCGCGACCUUCGACCAGGGGGAAAAGGAAGGGGAUGGGCGUCGGGAUUACAUCGGUAUGGAUUGCGCGUAAUACCCUGUAAACCGCGUGAGCCUUUCUUUCUUCGUUUUUUUUUUUUUUGCGCCGGCUUUCAUCUCGCUGGAAAAGCGAGAACGGGAUGGAUCGGGGAAUCAUCGAAGCGUUUCGUUUUAUCGCGCGAGGGGAACGCGUGGGUCUCGAAGCUUCGAUCCUUCUCGGAUCGAUCAUCAAAACGUGAUUAGCACGGCCUAGAUUCUACGGAUUAUUGUAAUCGCGGAAGUAAUAAUUCCCGAAUUUUUCCCGCGGAAAAUUUUUUAAUAUCGCCGCAUUGUCCGGUGGAGGGGAAGAAAGCAGAGGGCGGGGUUUAUUAUGUUUUAUGGGUUUCGCGAGCGGGCUUAAUUACGCGGAUGAUGGGCGCGGGGAGAAAUCGCGGCGAGGAGGAAUCGCAAACAAUUCUCCGGCUAAUUAGCCCGAAUCCGGACGUAAAUUGCCGAUGAAAUGGCUUUUAAAAUCCAUCCAAUGCUGGGAGCGGCGGGAAAAAAGAAGGAGAAGAAAAAAAAAAAAAAAAAAGAAAUGAGGAGACAGAGCGGAGACGAGAAAGAACGUUGGUAAAAAGGGGACGAAGAAAGCGGGGGAGAGGGGAUGGAAGGAGGAAAGGGUUGGAGAUAAAACGUCCUUGAGGUCAUUACUGUACCGCGGUUGGAUCGUGGCAGCCUCGAAAGUUUCUUGGUCGGUUGCCAGAGAUUGGCGCGAGCGAGCGCGUUCAAAAAAUAGCGUUGAAAGAGGCGAGAUACCCGAUCGUCGCGUGGAAUGAAAAAAAGGGAGCAUAAGCCCAACGAGGGAGCGAGAUUUCACGGGCCACUUAAAAACGAUACUCGUGACGAUUUCUUUUUCACCGAAUUCUCUCGGCUCUCGUGAGUUAUGAAAUAUAUAUAUAUAUAUAGAUAUAGAUGCUCGAUCGGGCGUAGCUUUUAUAUUUCCUUCGUUGCCGCGGCGGUGCUUCGCUCUCUCGUUGUUUUCGCCGUGGAAACGUCCACGGUGAUGUACCUUCCCGUCGGAAAUACGAGUCCAAUCGUUCAUAAAGCUUCUCGGGUAUUGCCUGGAUGGCGCUCCGCGAUAGGUUCACCUACGCCCGACAAUUUCUCCUUUUUCAUCGCGUUCCAUCCCGACAUCCCCCUCCGCCAUCCCUCGUCUUCAUUCCCUUGCAAGGCCUUGCACCGUGAUUCUCCAUCAUACGGACCGCCUCUGAUGAAAAUGGUGUUUGGAAAUCUGAUAAAGGGAACUACCAUCGUAAAUCGACCAUUUCGACAAGCGUCCUCUUUAUCUCGUGGAACCAGGAUUACGAUACUCGUGACGAUAUAUAUAUAUAUAUAUAUACAACAUAGUUAGAUUAUAUACAACACGAGACUACAUGAUCGACGUAUAGAUCAACCAGCGCUCUUUCUUUCAAUGGAAUAAAGGGCGAAUCUUUUUUUUUUUUUUCUUCUUCUUCUUCUUCUUAUCUCGUGGUCGAAUUGGAUCGACACGUGAAACAGAUAUCGAGAGACACGGAACAGAUUCGUUCGAAUGUCUUCUCUUGGCCGAAAUUUGAAAUUCAAAGGUCGGAAUAAAUUCCAUCGGCCAUCGCCGUUCUUUUGUUCAGUUUUAUUAGGUCUCCCCGGGGAUUCCACGCGGCUUAAGUAUAAUUCCAGGGCACAAUAACGUCUGGUAAAGUGCCAUUCGGUAGCGCCACCCUGCAGAUUAUGGGCAUUCCGGAUGAACGCUAAACAUUGUCGCUCAUCCUCCUUCCACGCGAUCCGUGACACUCGGGGCGGGGAAUCGGGCAAAUGGUAUAAAACUGGAAACCUCGAAUCUCCCUCGAGGCUUCUCCUCCCCGCCCUCGUAAAAUCUCCAAUCGCGUGUCUUUUCAUAUCGGCGAUAAAAAUUUUUAUUCCUCGCGAUCGCGAAGGAAGGAGGACCGCGAAACUUCUUCCUCUUCCUUUUCUUUCCUUUUCUUCUCUUUUUCUUCCUUUCUUUCAAAAAAAAAAAAAAUCGUCGAAUUCGCGAAAAUGUCCGCGGAAAGAGCGACGGUCCGACGAGAAUGUUCCAGGGGCAAGGGACAAGGGGUUGACGUUGUAUUUAGGUCGGGAUCGACUGCUAGUUGGAAUAAUCUCUGCGAGGCACGUCAACGAGAGAACGGUGUCAUCAGUUUGACCCUGUUUUCACUUCGGUUCGAUAUUGCGAUCCACGCCCCCGCGUCUAGAUAUUCGCUGAUCGUGGUAUCCACGGUAGCAAUAACCGGUACACCGGUCGAUUACACCCUCUCGCGCCCCCGAUUUCAUCCCCCCCCUCUCCCUUUCUCCUCCUUUUCCUUCACUUUCCUUCUCUUUUAUUUUAUACACGAGAGAAUAAAAUCCUCCACAGUUUUACCGCGCGUUCGCAUGCCAGUACACGUCGGCCGACGAGUCGAAUUUCUUUUUUCCUUCUCUCACCGUGUGUAAUAUUAAUCGUACGGUCACGAACGAUGGUACGAGGUAGCAGCCCCCUUUCCUCUCCCCUCGCGAUAACGAGGAUGAAAAGAUACUAGUGGCGGGAAAUGGCGGGAAGGAACAAAGCGUUUUUUAACAAACAAAAUUCGAAAAGGCGGGGAAGGAGGGUGGGGAGGGGUAGGGGGUACAGGAUGCCUUACAGUUGCGCGUUUUCCGAACCGGGGCUUUGGAUCGAGGGGGGAGGAAUCUUCGUGGGAAAGCUGGCAACCGGUACGAUUUUUUCGCCCCCGUGGAAAUUCGUAAAGGACGAGCCCUCCCGGUCCUUCGAUUAUUCCCUACGCUUUUUCUGUCUCUUUCUCUGCAUUUUGCAUCGUUCAAGGAUAUGUAUAUAUAUAUAUACGAGUUUUGCGAGUUGAAAAUAUCCGGAUUUCGAAAUAUUCCAGAUCGAAAAUGUAUAAACGAGUUUCAUGGAAAUUUCCCUCUCCCCUUCCGAAUUCUCCAUAAUUUCUCUGGAUCUGGAGAUAGCGCGAGAUAGAGGGGAUGGGAAAUGGGCGAAAUCAAUGGGCGACAGAUUUCGAAAUAUGGCGGGCAGUGUUUAUUAACCGCAAGACAAGGAGAAUCGCGUAGCCUCGAAUGCAACGCCCGGGGGCAUUCGACGAACUGUCUAGAAUUAUACCACGAAGAUUAGGAACGGAGGGAAAGAGAGAGAGAGAGAGAGAGAGAUUGCCCAACCCAGCAUGGAGCGAACCGUGGUAUAGAAUCCAGGAGUCCAAGAUCACGACGUCUACUUGGAACGGUAACUCUGCAUUGUCAUGGUGAUCGCGGCUGAUAAUGGACGAUGGAUUUGCGGGAAUAUCGACGGAUAACCGUGGUGCAGUUGCUUUGAAACUGUUUCCAGUAUUUGGUGGUCUGGAAAUGGGCCAACCGGAUGUUGGAAAUACCGAUUGGAAACGAUGAUCGAGAGAAAAACAAGCGCAGCUUCCAUCCUGGACCUUCGAAAACAAUAAAUCUUAAAUCUCGGAUAAAAAUUUUCGAAUCAAAAUAUAUAUUUCUACGUUCGUAAUUUCUCGGUCGAAAUUAAAUGGGAGAGGGGAUACGAAUACACUUCGAACGCCGGCAUUCGUCUUUCGGCGUUCGAAGCGUUAAUAUCAACAAAACGUCGCGUCGCGCUCGUUAUUUACGUUUCGUCGCAAUUGUACGACGCAAAAAGGAUUUAUUUGCAAUUUUUGACGAAAUCUGCAUACGAAGAGGACCACUCCACGAAAACUGCAUCUGACUGUCGGCGGAUUGUAACCGUGUCUCUUCCCAUCGUGUCGGUGGCACGAACAUCCCCGACGACGACGACGACGACGACUUGUCACGUCGAGGACGAGGCAAAGUUAUUCCGUCCUCGAGAAUGGAAACGUUUUCUUCGGGGCGAGGAACGUUAAAUUGCACGUGCAGCACAAUUGCGCCGAGGGCACGGCGCGACACACGCGACGAUUUUAUGCGUGACUUACUAAGAGGGAUGAAAGGGACGACGAGAGAACUCAGUGUCAUCGCAUCGGUGAGAAACGUUACACGAGGAAAUCGCAUUUGGAGGGCGGGAUAAUAGUAAAAAUUGCGAAAGUCUCGAAACUCGGGAAGGGAAGUGGAAAGCUCUGUAGCAGAAGUGCCGCCUCGAUGGCGCAAUUUUUCGAUCAACUUUCUAUAAAUACAGUCAUUUGUCACUCAUCGAGAGUACGGAGAAUCGAGAGGGAGAGGUGAACUCUGGGAUGCUCGAUAAAUCAUCAUUGAUUUAAAACGUCCCCUCGAAAAAAGUGCGAUGUACCACCGAUAAAAUUUGAUUUACCGUAUCGAGGGCGUAGCGUGCUCUCUUUACGGCGGUUCAUCGUGUGUCUUAUAUUUAUUUUAGAACGUCGUCAGAAAAAUUACGGUCUGCCGGUUGGAGCUCGACGCCGUCUGGGGACAUCGGUGGAUCAAUUUUUAAAGCCGCGGCAUGGAAACGGGCGUGAAGGGUCGCUGGCGUACAGAACAAUGACGAUGCUGAUGCCAGACGGUCGGUCGCAAAUUAUCCCUGCGAGGUAUUAUUAAUUAAAUAGGCUUGUUGACUCGCGACGCGAAAAAAUUCUACACCCUGUUUAUAAAUCGUUGACGUGUGCCGAGAUAUCUAAUUUCCGUAGGAAAAAGAGAAAAAUAAAAAAAAAAAAAAAAGAAAAGAAAG
rnacentral:lncRNA from 1 species